GGGCUCGUAGUCCAGUGGUAAGACGUUACCUUCACAAGGUAAAGAUCCGGAGUCCGAUCCUCCGCGGGCCCA
rfam:Candidatus Micrarchaeota archaeon Mia14 chromosome, complete genome.